GUGCUCACUUCAGCACCACAAAGGCGAAAAUUGGAACGAUACAGAGGAGAUUAGCAAGGCCUCUGUGCCACGCUAAUUCAUGACGAAUUCCAUGUUUUU
rnacentral:snRNA from 1 species